rnacentral:rRNA from 1 species
UCGCUUACAGAUGGGCCCGCGGUGCAUUAGCUAGUUGGUAGGGUAAUGGCCUACCAAGGCAACGAUGCAUAGCCGACCUGAGAGGGUGAUCGGCCACACUGGGACUGAGACACGGCCCAGACUCCUACGGGAGGCAGCAGUAGGGAAUCUUCCGCAAUGGACGAAAGUCUGACGGAGCAACGCCGCGUGUAUGAAGAAGGUUUUCGGAUCGUAAAGUACUGUUGUUAGAGAAGAACAAGGAUAAGAGUAACUGCUUGUCCCUUGACGGUAUCUAACCAGAAAGCCACGGCUAACUACGUGCCAGCAGCCGCGGUAAUACGUAGGUGGCAAGCGUUGUCCGGAUUUAUUG